rnacentral:rRNA from 1 species
AACAAACGCUGGCGGCGCGUUUUAAGCAUGCAAGUCGGACGGCAAGAGUUGUAGCAAUAUGACUCCUAGAGUGGCGAACGGGUGAGUAACACGUAGGUGAUCUACCUCUGGAUGGGGGAUAGUCCGUGGAAACACGGGGUAAUACCGCAUGAGGCCUUGUGGGUGGAGCCAUGAGGUGAAAGGUGCAAUUGCAUCGUCUGGGGAUGAGCCUGCGGUCCAUUAGGUAGUUGGCAGGGUAACGGCCUACCAAGGCUACGAUGUUUAGGGGACCUGAGAGGGUGACCCCCCACACUGGUACUGAGACACGGACCAGACUCCUACGGGUGGCUG